UCUAAUUCUAGAUCUAGAAUCUAGAAGUCACACUGUGAUUGUGAAGACACAAAGUUGACAGUUUGAGUUUCUUUACUCAUGACUCAAGUUGGAUUUUUUUUCUCCU
rnacentral:sRNA from 1 species